AUACAUGCAGUCGAACGCACUCUCGUUUAGAUUGAAGGAGCUUGCUCCUGAUUGAUAAACAUUUGAGUGAGUGGCGGACGGGUGAGUAACACGUGGGUAACCUGCCCUAAAGUGGGGGAUAACAUUUGGAAACAGAUGCUAAUACCGCAUAAAACCUAACACCGCAUGGUGUAGGGUUGAAAGAUGGUUUCGGCUAUCACUUUAGGAUGGACCCGCGGUGCAUUAGUUAGUUGGUGAGGUAAAGGCUCACCAAGACCGUGAUGCAUAGCCGACCUGAGAGGGUAAUCGGCCACACUGGGACUGAGACACGGCCCAGACUCCUACGGGAGGCAGCAGUAGGGAAUCUUCCACAAUGGACGAAAGUCUGAUGGAGCAACGCCGCGUGAGUGAAGAAGGUUUUCGGAUCGUAAAACUCUGUUGUUGGAGAAGAAUGUAUCUGAUAGUAACUGAUCAGGUAGUGACGGUAUCCAACCAGAAAGCCACGGCUAACUACGUGCCAGCAGCCGCGGUAAUACGUAGGUGGCAAGCGUUGUCCGGAUUUAUUGGGCGUAAAGCGAGCGCAGGCGGUUUCUUAAGUCUGAUGUGAAAGCCUUCGGCUCAACCGAAGAAGUGCAUCGGAAACUGGGAAACUUGAGUGCAGAAGAGGACAGUGGAACUCCAUGUGUAGCGGUGAAAUGCGUAGAUAUAUGGAAGAACACCAGUGGCGAAGGCGGCUGUCUGGUCUGUAACUGACGCUGAGGCUCGAAAGCAUGGGUAGCAAACAGGAUUAGAUACCCUGGUAGUCCAUGCCGUAAACGAUGAGUGCUAGGUGUUGGAGGGUUUCCGCCCUUCAGUGCCGCAGCUAACGCAUUAAGCACUCCGCCUGGGGAGUACGACCGCAAG
rnacentral:rRNA from 2 species